AGAGAAUCCCGUAUACUUACGUGUGAGUGACUGAGCGUGGAUUGCCGGCGACAUUAUGAAAAAGACCGUGAUGCAGAGACUAGGUGUUUGUUGCAAAAACGGAUUGCGCCUCGUCGCGGGCUACGCUAGCCGUCCGUUUUCGUCUACGAUGUUACCUUCCUUCUUUGCGAGAUGUACACACUGCAUUCGUGCGUGAUGCCUGCACUACACGUACUGAAAGGAGAUUCCUCAUGGGUGACAACCACAUUCACGACCGCCAUUUUAAGUCAGCUUGGUUCAGAGUUCAGACGCAUUUUUGUGCUAAUCUUUACUGCAAGCAUGAUGGAGAAGUGGAAUGAUUCUUGCACAAGAUUUUGGCGAUGGGGCAGCAAGAAACCAAAGUGGGUGGAAAAUGAAUGAUUGAACUUGAACAGAGAUAUGGGGCUGAGUUUAAAGACAUUGAGAGGUUUCACACUGGUGGUUAGACCGUGGUAAAGUUCAGUUAAGUUAGGUUAGCUAACUCAAGUUAACCAAGAUAGGUUGCGGCAUCACUAUGCAUUACUGCAUUACUAGGCACUUAUAACACCUUGUACAUAACCCGGAUAAUGGCGGGAAGCUACCGAACUGGCGAUAAUUUUCGGCAUUAUCAAGCCUUGGGCAACUCACCGUUGAUAGCCAGGAGCCUCUACAAACUGCAGAGACCACUGAUCAUUAUCCCCUAGGCUGGAACCCGUCUGGAGCCAGUCAAGAAACCAGUCAAGAACAGGAAGCCAGCGAAGAGCAAACUGACCAUCAAAUUGAUCAACCUGUAGAAAAUUCUGGAAGACAAGGAAGAAAGAGAAAGUCUCGUCAAUUUCUUAUGAAGAAACGACGUGGCUCAUCAACCUGUGGUCACACUCGCUGAUACAGAAUCUCCUGACAAAGCCUGGUAGCAAGAGCAAAAUAUGGCAGGAAAUAUCACAUGAACUAGCCAAACAUAAGUUCAUCAGAACACCAGAGCAGUGCAAAGAAAAAAUAUAUAAUCUAAAAAAAAGAUUACAGACUGGUCAAGGAUUGAAUAAGAAGAAGUGGAGAAGGAAAUACAACAAGUGAUUUUGCGUACUAUGAUGCUAUGGACAUGGUGUUAGGUGACUGUCCAUCUGUGUCACCUACUAAUGUAUACGAGUCUCCUGAUGGUAUCUGCACAUUAUUGUCCUCUUCCUUAGUUGCCUCUCCGUACGACUCUACUCAAACAGGAGCUGAAUGUCUAUCCGGAAAUAGCAGUGGUACACCUCCAGAUUGCAGUGACCAAAGCCCAUGCUUCUCUGAAACACCUGCCAGUACUAGUAGGCACCAUAGCCCUCCUAGUGCACCUCCUAGUGCACCCAAAAAAACGAAAAAGACAAGAAAGCAGUGGCCUUGAUAGAGUUGUGAAUGAACUUACUCAAUUUGGGGAAAAGAUCGUGGAUUUGAUGUCAAGGAUGGAAGAUGCUGACAGAGAGAGAGAAGAGCGAGAGAGAAGAGAGGCUGAACGAAGAGAUGCAUUCUUGCUCAAUGCGUUACGAAUUCUUACAGGACAACAAAUGGAAGAACCUGACAAUGCAAACCAGUAGUCCAAAAUUCCCAAAAAAAUUUAAAGCACACUGUUUCAACACACUGUUCUAACAACACAAAGUUUUAGUUCUAACUAUAUUGUUAACAAACAGUUCUUAACAAUACAAUGUUCUUAUUAAUACUGUUCUAGCAAUAUUUUAACACUGGUCAACACUGUUUUAAUUAAUACUGUUCUAACAAUAUUUUUAUCACAUUGUUCUAACAACGCUAUGUUAAUUGACAGAUUGUUUUAACACAAUGUAACCAUGUUCUAAUUACAGUAGUCUCGUGUGUAGUCAUCGUUGAUUUCAUUUUGUGCCAAACAAUAGUUAUGUAAGGUACAGCAAGCAAUAACGACUACUUGAACGUUGUUGAUGUCAGUCUCUUGCUGAUUUAACAGAAUUUGCCACCUACCUUUGAGUAGCCCAAAUGCCCUUUCCACUGUGAUUCAAGCACAACUCAGUUUGUAGUUGAAACUUUUCUCAGACUCCCUCAUAUUGGAGCUCUCGGGAUAUGCUUUUAUUAGCCAACUUUUCAAAGAGUAGGCUGGAUCUCCCAGAAUUAAAACAGGUAUUCUCGCACCAUUACAGACAACAGUCUCACUUCCAGGAAACGCUGUUCCAGCACGUUCAGCAACUGGAAAGAGGCGACUGUUAGCAAGAACACGAGCAUCGUGGACUCGUCCUGGCCAGCCAAUACAGAUAUCGUUGAAGUAAAGAAAUGAAUCUACCACAGCUUGAAGUAUAAUUGAGUGAAACCCUUUACGAUUGAUAUAACAGGCUGGAUUGAGAGGUGGACUUUUAAUAGGUAUGUGUGACCCAUCUACUGCUGCACCAAUUUGAGAGAACCCAUGACCAAUAUUUCUGAACCGUUCAAUGACUUUCUUCAAGCGAUCUCCUUGUGGCAUCUGGACAUACUGACAACUCAAGUGGGAAACGAUUGCCUGACAUACUUCAUUGGAAAUAGUGCUAGCUGUUGACACACCAACGACAAACAAGUUUGAGACAGUCCUAUAAUAUUCACUGCCAGCCAACCUGUAUAAAGUCAAGGCUAGUCUCUUGUCUGGCGAUAUAGGGACUCUCAAGUGGGUGGACUUCUUUGUUAUCAGAUGUCGUAUAUCAUUGCACAGAUUACACACAAUAGAAGAAAUUAAGGUUAUCAGUUAACUAGCUAAUCUAGAACAAUAUCCAAACCUCAUGAAAGUUCCUCUUGACAUCCUAAAAUUCUCUCUCCAAUCAGUAUCUGAUGCCUCCGCAAGCAUUCUGUCCCACCACCUUGAUUCUCUUGGUUUGAUCCAUAAUGUGCGACCGGCGGGAUGCAUUCUAGCUACCACUCUUAGAACACACUGGAGUAAACAGAGUAAAACAAGAAGGACUCCUCGUUGCCGACGACGAAGGAGCCUCCUCUGAUGCCUCCUCUUCUGAGCCCUAAUGUCUAGCCGCAAAACCAUUAGCAGAAAGAAGGUAGCCGCAUUGCCACGAAACGUAGCUGGCAUUCUCAAGGCUUCUAGCUAGUACACAGUAAUAUGACCUAUUGCGCAAGCGCGAUCUCUUAACCGAGUCUAACCCAAUGCUAACCAUGGUCUGGAGGUUGGGUACUCUAACCACGAUCUAACCGAAGUUAACCAAACUUAACCAUACUUGGUUUCACACUGACCUUGGUAACCUAACUUAACCGAACUUUACCACGGUCUAGCCACCAGUGUGAAACCGCUCAUUGAUAAUUUAGGUAUAACUGAUAUAAUAGGUUUACUUGUUGGUAACACUUGUAAGUGUGUAGGUUGCAGAUGCUUUGCUGCAAUGGAGCUGAUGAUGGUGCAGCUUUCCAGCAAGAUGCAGAAAUCAGUUCGACAAGAAGUCAAAGUUGAUAUAUCUGAUUAUCGCUUUAAUUGGGAAGACCUCGGGUGAACUACAAAAGUUAGUAGACAGUCUACAUGAGUCCUGCUGUAAAUGGGGAAUGAAAAUCAGCAUCAAGAAAACAAAAGUUUUGAGCAUUGGUUACGAGCAGGCACGUAUUCUUCUUGACGGUUCUGUUCUUGAAAACGUUACAGAGUUUACUUACUUGGGGAGUAUCAUGAGCCAAGGUGGUGGAUGCAGUGCUGAAAUUGAUGCUUAUAUAAGCAAAGCAAGUAAAGUUUUUGGUUCCUGGAAGAAAAGGGUAUUUACCAACAGGCAGUUUUCAAUCUCCACAAAGAUGAAAAUUUUUCGUGCUUUGGUGAGACCUGUUUUGCUAUAUGGAUGUGAGACUUGGUCCGUUACACAACCAAACUUGCAAUGCUUAAAUACAUUCCACAUGCGGUGCAUUCGAUCGAUUCUUGGUGUCUCAAGAUGGAAUAAAAUCAAGAAUUCAGACAAUUUAGAACGAGCGUGUGAAGACCCUAUUGCUAUGACAAUACAGAAACAACGAUUGCAAUGGCUGGGCCAUCUGCAACGCAUGAGUGACAAUCGUCCCCAAAAACAACUACUUUGCAGCAGACUUAGUAAUGCAACAAGACCAACACAUGGGCCUAAACAGAGAUGGAUAGAUGUUGUCACAAGACACCUCAGAUCAUUACAUAUCAGUCUUCGUGAUGCUGAUGAUCGUGCUGCUUGGAGAAGCGCUAUUACGCUGCGUUGCCAAAACCCAUAGUGGGUAUGGUGGAAUCAAGGUUCAAGCUUGGUUGUGAACUUGGACGUAUUAUUGCCUUUGGACAUGAACAAUCGACUUUCUUGUUGACUUCCUCUGAGAAGUGGUCUGAAACAUGUACUAUAACUCAACCAAGGACAAAGAGAGUUGAAGGCAGGUGGCAAAAGAAUGAAUGACGUAGGAAGAAAAUAUGAAUAUGAUCUCUUGAAUAGGAAUGUGGAAGGAAAGUGAUGAUGCAGAGUCCACAGUAGACAAGGUUUCUCAAGUUGCUCCAUACUUGAUUGUAUGUGGCAAUCCAGCCAAACCAAGUCAUGUUAUUGGCAUCCGAGCUCAUCAUCAUGUUCGAAAUUCAGUGCAGCAACAGCAUAUGCUGUCCAGCGCUAUUGCUUGCUGUAAUUUAUGUUUUCAAUACAAAUUUCUCUCAAUCUUUAGCAACUUUUUACUGGUGCCUGGACGUCAUGUUACUGGGAUGUACUUCAGCUCCAGUGAUAUCUAGUUUUUUUGCUGGAUUGCAAUGAGGAAGUUUGUUUGAUAAAUUGUGUUUUGCUUUUGUUUAGUGCGUUGACUCACUAUUUUUGGUUUAACUGUUUAAAUACAAG